ACUACAUUGGUGGACGUGGUCAUUAAGUCAAUCCUGCCCAUGUCUUCUCACCUUUUGUCUGGACAAGAAGUCUCCACUGCCAUUGAGACACAUCUGUACAGAACAGAUACCAGUGGAGUAUGGACCAGCUGGAUGGUUGGAGGGAAAGCGUCAGAGAAGUUAAAGAAACUACUGCUGGUGCUGUUGAUGACGCUGCCUGGGUCUCCUGCAGUGGAGCGUGACUCAGACAUCGAUCAAAAAGAGGAUAUGGAUCUAAACCCUGCUACAUUUCUCAGAGUGGACAGUGAACCUGAAUCAGACAGCCCAGACACUAAGAAGAGGCGGCAUGUAGCUCACGCGUUGUUCACCUCCCUCAGUCAUUCCAGGGCCAGAGAGGAGGCUCUACUGUAUGGCACAUUCAGCUUUCUGCCUUUUCACACCUCCAACUCCUCCAACUCCACUGCCCCUCCGCCCCCUCCCGUCCUGGCCUUCCUGCGCUCUUGGGGGUGUGUUCAUUUCCUCAUUCUGCUCAAUAUUGGACCCCAGACUCACGCCCUGGACCCUGCUUGGGCACCCAGUCUGCCAGAAGCGGGAGUGUAUGUUGCCAGUACUGGGAUGGACCGCUUGGGAGCAACAUCUCUGGACACAUUGGUGCUUCAGCCACAUGAGGCCAUUGUCAUAAAACUGUUUGAGGCUGGAGCGUAUUCAUAAAGCUUGUUAGAAUUUCACCAAAGAAGACAAAGUAACAGAUCAUUGUUUUAAUUUGUG
ensembl:lncRNA